CCAGAGCACGUCCAUUCACAAUAAAAAAUCACGUGGAACUGGUUACCCUACCAAAACGCUGUUUUUCGCGACGCCGCGCCGCUAAAAUCGGCG